GGAAUAUUGGACAAUGGGCGCAAGCCUGAUCCAGCCAUGCCGCGUGAGUGAUGAAGGCCCUAGGGUUGUAAAGCUCUUUUGGCGGGGAAGAUAAUGACGGUACCCGCAGAAUAAGCCCCGGCUAACUUCGUGCCAGCAGCCGCGGUAAUACGAAGGGGGCUAGCGUUGCUCGGAAUCACUGGGCGUAAAGGGCGCGUAGGCGGCCAUUCAAGUCGGGGGUGAAAGCCCAGGGCUCAACCCUGGAAUUGCCUUCGAUACUGUUUGGCUAGAGACCGGAAGAGGUUAGUGGAACUGCGAGUGUAGAGGUGAAAUUCGUAGAUAUUCGCAAGAACACCAGUGGCGAAGGCGGCUAACUGGUCCGGUUCUGACGCUGAGGCGCGAAAGCGUGGGGAGCAAACAGG
rnacentral:misc_RNA from 1 species